rnacentral:rRNA from 1 species
UUGACCUCAAAUCAGGUAGGACUACCCGCUGAACUUAAGCAUAUCAAUAAGCGGAGGAAAAGAAACUAACAAGGAUUCCCCUAGUAACUGCGAGUGAAGAGGGAAAAGCUCAAAUUUAAAAUCUGGCAGUUUCACUGUCCGAGUUGUAAUUUAA